rnacentral:tRNA from 1 species
GAGGGUGUAGCUCAGUGAUAGAGUGUGUGCUUAGCAGGCACGAGGUCCUGGGUUCAAUCCCCAGUACUUCCA